rnacentral:tRNA from 1 species
CAGGGAGACAAUAAAUUGAUUGUGAUGUCUAAGUUAUUUAUUCUUAGGCCGCAAUCCUGUCACCUUAAGGUCGAUCGGUACCUCAGAUUUUUGAAUUAGUUUUAUAAUUGAUUCUUUGAUUUCAGUUCCUAAACUUGUCUAGGUCACACCCAACAAAGGUUUCUCCUGGGCCAUUAGCUCAGGUGGUUAGAGCGCACCCCUGAUAAGGGUGAGGUCCCUGGUUCAAGUCCAGGAUGGCCCAUUCGUUGUUGGGGGUAUAGCUCAGUUGGUAGAGCGCCUGCUUUGCAAGCAGGAUGUCAGCGGUUCGAGUCCGCUUACCUCCACUGAAAACUAUCCUGAUAACUAAAUUCUGGAGAAAAAAAUUGUAGAUGUGGCUUAGAAUUGUCUAUUUGAAGAGAACCUAGCUUCUUGUCAUCUUUUUAUAGUUGAUAAAAUGCUGGGCUCGCAUGGAUUAUUUCCAUGAGAAUUCAGUAGAACCUUGAAAACUGCAUAGAUAAGAAAGAAUAAAGCAUCUCAUGGAUGCAUAAUUCUGUUUUUAUAAUUUAGCCUUAAAACUAAAUUAUUUAAUUCUAGAAUUCAUGUUUAAUUCUUGAGUAAAAGCCGAGCACAAUUGAUUUUGUGAUUGUAUUUAA